rnacentral:tRNA from 1 species
AAGGCUUUAGCUUAAUUAAAGUGUCUGCUUUGCAUGUAGAAGAUGUGGGGUAGUGUCCUGCAAGUCUUA